rnacentral:rRNA from 1 species
GAUGAACGCUAGCUACAGGCUUAACACAUGCAAGUCGAGGGACCGGCGCACGGGUGAGUAACACGUAUCCAACCUGCCCUUUACUCGGGGAUAGCCUUUCGAAAGAACGAUUAAUACCCGAAGUAAAGGAUGGGGAUGCGUUCCGUUAGGUUGUUGGUGAGGUAACGGCUCACCAAGCAUUCGAUGGAUAGGUGUUCUGAGAGGAAGGUCCCCCGAAUUGGAACUUGGACACGGUCCAAACUCCUACGCGAGGAAGCAGUGAGGAAUAGUGGUCAAUGGGCGUUGACCUGAACCAGCCAAGUAGCGUGAAGGAUGAAGGCUUAUGGGUCGUACACUUCUUUUAUAUAAGAAUAUGUAGGAUAUGAAUAAGGAUCGGCUAACUCCGUGCCAGCAGCCGCGGUAAUUC